GUGGGGAAUCUUAGACAAUGGGCGCAAGCCUGAUCUAGCCAUGCCGCGUGAGCGAUGAAGGCCUUAGGGUUGUAAAGCUCUUUCGUGGGGGAAGAUAAUGACUGUACCCCAAGAAGAAGCCCCGGCUAACUCCGUGCCAGCAGCCGCGGUAAUACGGAGGGGGCUAGCGUUGUUCGGAAUUACUGGGCGUAAAGCGCACGUAGGCGGACUGGAAAGUCAGGGGUGAAAUCCCGGGGCUCAACCCCGGAACUGCCUUUGAAACUCCCAGUCUUGAGUUCGAGAGAGGUGAGUGGAAUUCCGAGUGUAGAGGUGAAAUUCGUAGAUAUUCGGAGGAACACCAGUGGCGAAGGCGGCUCACUGGCUCGAUACUGACGUUGAGGUGCGAAAGCGUGGGGAGCAAACAGGAUUAGAAACCCCAGUAGUCC
rnacentral:rRNA from 1 species